rnacentral:rRNA from 1 species
CCUACGGGAGGCAGCAGUGAGGAAUAUUGGUCAAUGGGCGCAAGCCUGAACCAGCCAUCCCGCGUGCAAGAUGACGGCCCUAUGGGUUGUAAACUGCUUUUGUAUGGGAGCAAUAAGCCCUUCGUGAAGGGUGAUGAGAGUACCAUACGAAUAAGCAUCGGCUAACUCCGUGCCAGCAGCCGCGGUAAUACGGAGGAUGCAAGCGUUAUCCGGAUUUAUUGGGUUUAAAGGGUGCGUAGGCGGUUGGAUAAGUCAGCGGUGAAAGUUUUCUGCUUAACAGGAAAAAUGCCGUUGAUACUGUCUGGCUAGAAUAUGGUUGCUGUGAGUGGAAUGUGUGGUGUAGCGGCGAAAUGCUUAGAUAUCACACAGAAUAUCGAUUGCGAAGGCAGCUCACAAAGCCAUUAUUGACGCUGAGGCACGAAAGUGUGGGGAUCAAACAGGAUUAGAUACCCUGGUAGUCCACACUGUAAACGAUGAUAACUCGCUGUCGGCGAUACACAGUCGGUGGCCAAGCGAAAGCGAUAAGUUAUCCACCUGGGGAGUACGACCGCAAGGUUGAAACUCAAAGGAAUUGACGG